UGCCAGCAGCCGCGGUAAUACGGAGGGUGCAAGCGUUAAUCGGAAUUACAGGGCGUAAAGCGCGCGUAGGCGGCUUUGUAAGUCGGAUGUGAAAGCCCAGGGCUCAACCCUGGAAUUGCAUUCGAUACUGCAUGGCUAGAGUAUGGUAGAGGGAAGUGGAAUUUCCGGUGUAGCGGUGAAAUGCGUAGAUAUCGGAAGGAACACCAGUGGCGAAGGCGGCUUUCUGGACCAAUACUGACGCUGAGAUGCGAAAGCGUGGGGAGCGAACAGGAUUAGAUA
rnacentral:rRNA from 1 species